rnacentral:misc_RNA from 1 species
GAUCAAUCAAUGGUGAAUCUGAAUCAGCUAAUAGAAAGGAACCGCAAUCCGCAGCGGCUUCGGCGGCUUCUCCACUUUCACCUCAAUCAUCUCCGGCCGCGGCGGCUCCCUAGGGCAUGGCAUCGCAAUGAACUUCGGAACAGAAUCCCCAGGCAUCAACACCGACAAGCUCUCUCUCUGAUUCUUCUCCAAAUCCUGGGAAGUAGGGUUAGAUUUGGAGGGAGAUGAUCGGAGGUGAAGAUCGUGAUCAUGUAAAGGUUGGGAAGCGGAACGGCGGAGGGAUCUGAGUUUAUCCCAGUGAUAGCA